AGCCGUAAGUCCAAGGUUUACGAUCCUAAGUAAAGCUAGGUCGUGAGAGGUUAAAACCUCGAAUUAAAACGGUCCCUAAGCUAGCAAGCCAAAGCUUGCGGUAAUGGGUAAGAUUAAACUGUUAAAGGUUGCUGACGAAAAAUUCACUUUAUCUUUGAAUUUUGUCAAAGGUAAAUUAUUUUUUCCAAGAAAAAGGCACUUUAUUUAAAACCGUACCUUAAACCGCCACAGGUGGACAGGUGGAGCACACUAAGGCUUUGAGAUAACCUUGUUGAAGGAACUCGGCAAAAUGACUCUGUAACUUCGGAAUAAGGAGUAAAAAUAUGGAGCGCAAGCUCUUAUUUUUGGCACAAAAUCGGGGGUAGCGACUGUUUAUUAAAAACACAGGUCUCUGCUAACUCGCAAGAGGAUGUAUAGGGACUGACACCUGCCCGGUGCCGGUAGGUAAAGCUUUGAUGUUUACGCAUUGAGGUCAAACCCCGGUAAACGGCGGCUGUAACUAUGACGGUCCUAAGGUAGCGAAAUUCCUUGUCGGGUAAGUUCCGACCCGCAUGAAUGGUGUAACGACUUCCCCGCUGUCUCCAACAGGGACUCAGUGAAAUUACAUAGGUCGUGAAGAUGCGACCAUCCUGCAGCUGGACGGAAAGACCCCGUGCACCUUUACUAUAAGCAAGCAUUGUAAUUCAAAGACUUAAGUGUAGAAUAAGUGGGAGUUUAUGACUUUUUUUCGCCAGAGAUUAACGAGGCAAUAGUGAAAUACCACUCCGAGAUCUGUUGACUUACUAACUACGGGACAGUGUUUGCUGGGUAGUUUGACUGGGGCGGUCGCCUCCUAAAGAGUAACGGAGGCAUACAAAGGUAGGCUCAUCUCCCUAUAAGGAGAAUCGAGUAUAAUGGCAAAAGCCUGCUUGACUGUAAGAAAGACAUUUCGAUCAGGGACGUAAGUCGGUCAUAGUGAUCCGGUAGUUCUUUGUGGAAAGGCUAUCGCGCAAUGGAUAAAAGGUACGCCGGGGAUAACAGGCUAAUGAUCCUCUAGAGCCCCUAUCGACGGGUUCGUUUGGCACCUCGAUGUCGACUCAUCACAUCCUGGAGCUGGAAAAGGUUCCAAGGGUUCGGCUGUUCGCCGACGAAAGUGGUACGUGAGUUGGGUUUAGAACGUCGUGAGACAGUUUGGUCCCUAUCUUCUGUAGGUGUUUGAAAAUUCCGAGGACUAAACCUUAGUACGAGAGGACCGGGAAAACUCGAUCCCUUGUGUUCCGGUUGUUCCCAAAGGAGCAACGCCGGGUAGCUACAUCGAGAAGAGAUAAUCGACCUUUAGGCGAGAAACUCUCCUCAAGUUAAAUUUUCAUAGGGGAGUGGAAGAUUACCACUUUGAUAGGCGAGAAGUGUAAGAGCUGUAAAGUUUUUAGCUGACUCGUACUAAUACCCA
rnacentral:ncRNA from 1 species